ACCCGCUCACACACUCUCUUUUUCGCAAAAGGCGAGCAACAUAAAAAUGCACCGCUUCCAGUCGGUGUUUGGACACACUGAGGCCACUGGACUGGAGUUCAUCUUUAGCAGUGGUUUGUAAUGGUAUCUUUAAGGGGUCUUUUUUAUUUCACUGGAAGAAUGGAUUUGACUUGGGCCUUGGAAAGAAGAUCAAGCGGGUAGCGACCUGCAGCCGCAAUGACCUCAGGGUUCUUCCUCCUAUCAGAGUCCUCCUCACCCCCCCGCCUGCCCAGUGUUCAGACUACCUGUUCAUCCGGCUACAGCUGAACAGUAGUCUGCACAUUGGUUAGGCUGGGCUGGGACGCACACACCUCCAGACACCGGCGGUGAUGACACCCAAUCUCCACUUGGGAUAGUUUAUUCCAACAGUGCCAAAUGCAUUGUCUUCAUCUUUAUACAUUCCUGUGGUGCUGGUUCAUCUUAUCUUAGCUAUCCAUAUCCCUAGUGCCCAGUGAAAUACAGCACUGGAAUAGAAAUUCUUCUCACCUCCUCAUCUUUGUACCAGGACAGGGACUCCGCAGUCAGGACAAACCAGUACUCCUUGGAGCCUCCUUUCAUGAUGCUGAUGUUGAUGGUUAGCCAGCCUUUCCUGAUCACCUACACAGUGAGGAGAAGAUGUGGGGGAGAGAAAGGGUGGUAGGGAGAGAGGGGUACCAGGAGGACGGAUGAAAACAGUCAGGCUUAUGCACUGGUGACAAGAGGGCCCCAUAAGGGUUACUGGGAUGUGACUGACACUAAUAAUAUCUUACCUGCUUACCUCUACUAGGUCAAUGUCCCCUUUUUAUCUCAAUAUUCAACAUUUUUGUGUUUAUGAGACUAAUAUUACUUAAAUAUGCACUACAACAUAGAAGUAUGGAUUAAAUGUGAAACUUAUUAAGUGAACAGCAUGGAGUGAACAAAGGACAGUAAUACUUAUUGUGUAAUAUGGCUAAAUGUAUACAAAAUCAUCAAAUGGUCAAGUUGAAAACACUGAAAGGGGAUGUAGUCCUUGUUCUUUUUCCACUCAACAGAAAAUAAAUCCUUAAAACAACAAACAGGACCAGAUGGUGUCCAGACUAUGCCAGCCCUGACACCAAAGGUCGACGAUGGUAUGUUAGUGUCAGUGGGUCAGUAAAAGCUAGCCUAUGUACUAGUAGUUAAACAUUAAAUAAAGCAUGGUUUGUGGGUUAACUGGACACAGAUAUACAAUGGUUUAGUUAAAAGAUGGGCAGUGCAAAGGAGAGGAGUAAAGGAGGAAAAAAAUAAUUGCAAUGGCUUGUUCACUGAUCUACUAGAGUUCAAAGAGGGACAGAAAUCUAAACAGCAAAUUAAAAAUCUAGUGUGGAGAGAUGGAGAGGGAGGAAAUACAUCUGACUGAGAGGCCGAGUUAAGUGAACCAUAAGCCAUGAAAAAUAAGCUUUUUGGAGGAACCCUCUUAGCUAUGUCUCUCCAUUGUUUUCCACGCAAUGGGGGAAGCUAUCUGUGAAAAGUGUGCUCUUAUGGCUAAGUAAAGCUAAAGGGAAAUUUCAAAGUCUGCUUUAGACCUCUCUUCUGCACUCCUCCAUCCACACAGAGGACUGGAGUAAAGUAUGGGGGAGGGAAGGGUUCAUUAGUUCAAAACUGCCAACAUAAACAUGGGAAAGGAGGCAAUUACAUAGGAGCUAAACUUGUAGUUUGCAUUGGUGAGGAAAAAACUUAAACUUCUAACAAGGAGUUUUAAAUCCUCUAAUUAAAGUCAGUUGGAAAUGUUAUAACCAAGUUGACAUUAAGAGAAUAUGAUGAGGUGUGAGGGUUUAGUUUCAGUAGUAGACUGUCAAGACAUGUUCAAUACAGUUCUGUUAAUGCAAGUGUUGCAAGUGGAUAAUUAAAAGAUGUACAAUUACAUCUGAGAUUAACUCCAAGGAUUCAAAGAAAAAAAUAUAUUUUUAAAUGAUUAGAAUGAAACAUGCCAAUUUAAAUGAAUUAGGAUAGUCAGUAGGUUUUGAAAAUAAAGAGAUCUUACCAAGGACUUAUGACUAAAUCAUUGAAAUACAUCCCAAAGCCAUGACCAGUCACCAUACAAAAUAACUAGACAAUUAUUUUUGUUCAGCUCUUAAUACAGAAAUAACAAUUAAACACUUGGAGACAGGUGGGUUUUUGGAUAUGUACGCACUUUCAGUAGGAAACUGUUUUAACAUGCAUUUAAUCUAAAAAAAAAAAAAAAAAAAGAA